CAAAAUUCCUCCCCCAUACGCACAGAGCCACUACUACCGAUGCCGCCGCAUGAAUUCUCUUCGCCGACAACCGCGCAGCCUGCACACAGCCACCGCCGGCAAGAAGGUUUGAUUUUUUUGGUAUCAAGUAUGUCGACGAAAGAAGAGGAGAACGCAACGGAACUUAAAAUCCCCGAUGGUGUUGGUUGAAGGCGGAGGUAGCUCGAGAACCACAAUUCUGAAUAUGUCACAUUAUCUUAAUGCUCUUAACAACACUAUGGUGGUAAUAUUGUAUCCAUCUAUAAUAUGCUGAAAGAAGAUAGAAGUAUAAUUUUCUUGUCUAUUAUAUAGGUACACACAACCCUGUAUGGACAUAUUAUAGGUUAUGUUUUCGAUUCAUACAGGGAAGCUAGAGACUUGCAAGCAUUUCUUUGGGAGAAUAUAUCGUUUUAUAUACUUUAUUGGUGUGAAGGUUUUUAUCACGGCUGCUACAGUUUUGAAGGCCACGCUCAAUCUACAAACGACAUCUCGAGCGCAAACACUAAGGUUGUCCACGUCAAGCCAAUCGACCGGACAUUCAAAGAUCUCGUUCGUCACCCGUAACAGCCGUAUAUGUUCACUCUGAUGCUGGAUGGGACGAUGCAACAUUGCACAUAUUUCUAUGAUGAUUAACUUUUGUUUGUGGGUUGAUACUGACUGAGUCAUUUCUAUUUGUUGAACUUGCAUAUUCUGGUUCUUUUUGUGUGUUUGUUGCUAUGCUUUGCCCUUAGAUUGUAUAUGUUUGUCGUAUUGCAAAAUAAUUAUGUUCCUAAAGAGUGCAUACUUUGUGCAACUGA